GACGACCGGCCGGACACCGCCGUGUGCCCGGCCCACAAGUGGAGGCUUCGAACUCCCACCUGACCGCCCCCUGGGGCGGCGGGUCACCGGUCAGACGGUCCCGUCCCGAGGCGGCGAUCCGUCCGAAUGCGCGCCCCGCGAUGAUUCGCGGCGGUGCUCCGGUAGUUCGAGGAGCCCCGCCUGUGAUCGUCCGGGGCAUUUUUU
rnacentral:ncRNA from 1 species